rnacentral:rRNA from 1 species
AUUGAACGCUGGCGGCAAGCCUAACACAUGCAAGUCGAACGAGUGGCGGACGGGUGAGUAAUGUCUGGGAAACUGCCCGAUGGAGGGGGAUAACUACUGGAAACAGUCGCUAAUACCGCAUACCAUCGGAUGUGCCCAGAUGGGAUUAGCUAGUAGGUGGGGUAAAGGCUCACCUAGGCGACGAUCCCUAGCUGGUCUGAGAGGAUGACCAGCCACACGGGACCUGAGACACGGUCCAGACUCCUACGGGAGGCAGCAGGGGGGAAGAUUGCACAAUGGGCGCAAGCCUGAGGCGGCCCUGCCGCGUGUAUGAAGAAGGCCUUCGGGUUGUAAAGUACUUUCAGCGGGGCGGCGUUACCCGCAGAAGAAGCAACGGCUAACUCCGUGCCAGCAGCCGCGGUAAUAC